GGUGGGUACAGCUCAGUGCUAGAGUGUGUGCUUAGCAUACACAAGGUCCUGGGUUCAAUACCCAGAACCUCUG
rnacentral:tRNA from 1 species